rnacentral:rRNA from 1 species
AGCUUUUGACAUGUCCUGGACGGAUUGCAGAGAUGCGAUCUUCUCUUCGGAGCCGGGAACACAGGUGCUGCAUGGCUGUCGUCAGCUCGUGUCGUGAGAUGUUGGGUUAAGUCCCGCAACGAGCGCAACCCUCGCCUUUAGUUGCCAUCAUUCAGUUGGGCACUCUAGAGGGACUGCCGGUGAUAAGCCGGAGGAAGGUGGGGAUGACGUCAAGUCCUCAUGGCCCUUACAGGCUGGGCUACACACGUGCUACAAUGGCGGUGACAGAGGGAUGCGAGGGCGCGAGCCGGAGCAAAUCUCCAAAAGCCGUCUCAGUUCGGAUUGCACUCUGCAACUCGAGUGCAUGAAGUUGGAAUCGCUAGUAAUCGCGGAUCAGCACGCCGCGGUGAAUACGUUCCCGGGCC